AGCAGUCGCCGCGGUAAUACCGAGGGUGCGAGCGUUAAUCGGAUUUACUGGGCGUAAAGCGUGCGUAGGCGGCUUCUUAAGUCGGAUGUGAAAUCCCUGAGCUUAACUUAGGAAUUGCAUUCGAUACUAAGAAGCUAGAGUAUGGGAGAGGAUGGUAGAAUUCCAGGUGUAGCGGUGAAAUGCGUAGAGAUCUGGAGGAAUACCGAUGGCGAAGGCAGCCAUCUGGCCUAAUACUGACGCUGAGGUACGAAAGCAUGGGGAGCAAACAGGAUUAGAUACCCCUGUAGUCCCUGUCUCUUAUAC
rnacentral:rRNA from 1 species